rnacentral:snRNA from 1 species
AUACUUACGGGGCAGGGGAGAUAACGCCAUCACGAAGGUGGUUUUCCCAGGGCGAGGCUUGUAUUGCACCCCUGUGAUUUCCCCAGAUGUGGGAAACUCCACUGCAUAAUUUGUGGUAGUGGGGGACUGCGUUCGUGUUUUGCCCUG